rnacentral:rRNA from 1 species
CACGUAGGGGCCAAGCGUUGUCCGGAUUUAUUGGGCGUAAAGAGCUCGUAGGCGGUUGGGUAAGUCGGGUGUGAAAACUCCGGGCUCAACUCGGAGACGCCACCCGAUACUGCUCUGACUUGAGUCCGGUAGGGGAGUGGGGAAUUCCUGGUGUAGCGGUGAAAUGCGCAGAUAUCAGGAGGAACACCGGUGGCGAAGGCGGUUCUCUGGGCAUGUUCUGACGCUGAGGAGCGAAAGUGUGGGGAGCGAACAGG